rnacentral:rRNA from 1 species
ACGCACGCUGGCGGCGUGCUUCACACAUGCCAGUCGCACGGAAAGGCCCUGCUUUUGUGGGGUGCUCGAGUGGCGAACGGGUGAGUAACACGUGAGUAACCUGCCCUUGACUUUGGGAUAACUUCAGGAAACUGGGGCUAAUACCGGAUAGGAGCUCCUGCUGCAUGGUGGGGGUUGGAAAGUUUCGGCGGUUGGGGAUGGACUCGCGGCUUAUCAGCUUGUUGGUGGGGUAGUGGCUUACCAAGGCUUUGACGGGUAGCCGGCCUGAGAGGGUGACCGGCCACAUUGGGACUGAGAUACGGCCCAGACUCCUACGGGAGGCAGCAGUGGGGAAUAUUGCACAAUGGGCGGAAGCCUGAUGCAGCAACGCCGCGUGCGGGAUGACGGCCUUCGGGUUGUAAACCGCUUUCGCCUGUGACGAAGCGUGAGUGACGGUAAUGGGUAAAGAAGCACCGGCUAACUACG